GGAAUCUUCCACAAUGGACGCAAGUCUGAUGGAGCAACGCCGCGUGAGUGAAGAAGGGUUUCGGCUCGUAAAGCUCUGUUGUUAAAGAAGAACGUGGGUAAGAGUAACUGUUUACCCAGUGACGGUAUUUAACCAGAAAGCCACGGCUAACCACGUGCCAG
rnacentral:rRNA from 1 species